rnacentral:snoRNA from 1 species
CGGCUGUAGCCAAAUUAACAAGGAAGAAAACUGGUCGGCUUGCCCUCUUCAAUGGGUUAUCCGCUUACCGACCUUCCCAUAUCU